AAUUUUCAUAACCUUGGAUCAAAGAACACCGCAUAAAAUUGUAUCACUACGACUAUGAUUUCAAUGGAACAUAUUGAACUAAUCAGAUUUUUCAGAUUAUGGAACACUAUUCCAAUUAGAUUGUGUUUCCUUCAACUAAUCAAAAUUGUUUCACUACAACUAUUUGAAGCCAACCAACUAUGAUUCCAAUGGAACAUAUUAAACACUAGUUGAUUCUAAUACGAUUUUUCAGAUUAUA
rnacentral:lncRNA from 1 species